rnacentral:rRNA from 1 species
GACGAACGCUGGCGGCGUGCUUAACACAUGCAAGUCGAACGGAAAGGCCCUGCUUUUGUGGGGUGCUCGAGUGGCGAACGGGUGAGUAACACGUGAGUAACCUGCCCUUGACUUUGGGAUAACUUCAGGAAACUGGGGCUAAUACCGGAUAGGAGCUCCUGCUGCAUGGUGGGGGUUGGAAAGUUUCGGCGGUUGGGGAUGGACUCGCGGGUUAUCAGCUUGUUGGUGGGGUAGUGGCUUACCAAGGCUUUGACGGGUAGCCGGCCUGAGCGGGUGACCGGCCACAUUGGGACUGAGAUACGGCCCAGACUCCUACGGGAGGCAGAAGUGGGGAAUAUUGCACAAUGGGCGGAAGCCUGAUGCAGCAACGCCGCGUGCGGGAUGACGGCCUUCGGGUUGUAAACCGCUUUCGCCUGUGACGAAGCGUGAGUGACGGUAAUGGGUAAAGAAGCACCGGCUAACUACGUG